UACGGAGGGUGCGAGCGUUGUCCGGAAUCAUUGGGCGUAAAGGGCGCGUAGGUGGCCCGGUCAGUCCGUGGUGAAAGCGCGGGGCUCAACCCUGCGUCGGCCAUGGAUACUGCCGCGGCUCGAGCACUGUAGAGGCAGGCGGAAUUCCGGGUGUAGGCGGUGGAAUGCGUAGAGAUCCGGAAGAACACCGGUGGCGAAGGCGGCCUGCUGGGCAGUAGCUGGACGCUGAGGCGCGACAGCGUGGGGAGCAAACAGGG
rnacentral:rRNA from 1 species